GUUAAAAUUAUAAAAAAAGAAUUAUUUUAUGAGAAACCUUCAUUACGAAUCAAAGUACAA
rnacentral:tRNA from 1 species